rnacentral:rRNA from 1 species
GAUGAACGCUGGCGGCGUGCCUAAUACAUGCAAGUCGAGCGAACAGACGAGGAGCUUGCUCCUCUGACGUUAGCGGCGGACGGGUGAGCAACACGUGGAUAACCUACCUAUAAGACUGGGAUAACUUCGGGAAACCGGAGCUAAUACCGGAUAAUAUAUUGAACCGCAUGGUUCAAUAGUGAAAGACGGUUUUGCUGUCACUUAUAGAUGGAUCCGCGCCGCAUCAGCUAGUUGGUAAGGUAACGGCUUACCAAGGCAACGAUGCGUAGCCGACCUGAGAGGGUGAUCGGCCACACUGGAACUGAGACACGGUCCAGACUCCUACGGGAGGCAGCAGUAGGGAAUCUUCCGCAAUGGGCGAAAGCCUGACGGAGCAACGCCGCGUGAGUGAUGAAGGUCUUCGGAUCGUAAAACUCUGUUAUUAGGGAAGAACAAAUGUGUAAGUAACUAUGCACGUCUUGACGGUACCUAAUCAGAAAGCCACGGCUAACUACGUG